rnacentral:rRNA from 1 species
AUGUUCCUAGUGGCGUGGGCCGCCGCAUCCCGUGGUGGCUCCGCACCCCCGGCCCCGUCCUUCGACCGCUCCGUGGUCGCCCCACGCGACCCAUCGCCGCGCACGUAUACCAGCGACGCCCUGAUCGACCGCCUGUUCUCUCCUCUCAGCUCCGUGCCUCUCCCUUCGGCCUCGGCCGCUGCCACCUCCAUCAACCGCAUCUACCACGUAGCAGCGCACGACGUCGCAACGCUGCAUGCCUUGGCCGGGCCAGGGCGCACGAAGCUCGAGGCAUUCACGGCGCACCUGUGGCAGCUCUGCUCCAUGGCGGCCUCCGGACAGCAGCGUCUGUGCUGCAUGGGCAUGGUGGUGGACGAGCGUGCUCGCAUGUUCCCCGACGGCGCCAUGAAGGCCUACUUCGGCAAUUGCUGA